CCUACGGGAGGCAGCAGUGGGGAAUAUUGCACAAUGGGGGAAACCCUGAUGCAGCGACGCCGCGUGAGUGAAGAAGUAUUUCGGUAUGUAAAGCUCUAUCAGCAGGGAAGAAAAAAGCCGUUACCUGCCUAAGAAGCCCCGGCUACCUACGUCCCAGCAGCCGCGUUAAUACGUAGGGGGCAAGCGUUAUCCGGAUUUACUGGGUGUAAAGGGAGCGUGAAGGGCUGUACAAGUAUGAAGUGAAAGCCCGGGGCUCAACCGCGGAACUGCUUUUGAAACUGUAUAGCUAGAGUACUGGAGAGGCAAGCGGAAUUCCUAGUGUAGCGGUGAAAUGCGUAGAUAUUAGGAGGAACACCAGUGGCGAAGGCGGCCUGCUGGACAGAAACUGACGUUGAGGCUCGAAAGCGUGGGGAGCAAACAGGAUUAGAUACCCCUGUAGUC
rnacentral:rRNA from 1 species